CUGUGUUAUAUUUUUCAGCAGUCAUAUGUGGCCGAAGAGCAUAUAGAACGAAAAUCGUGACCUGUAGCUUCUUCUGGAGUUGAGACACCGUAAACUCCAGAGGAAAACACCCAAGGAAGACAUCAACAGCAAUAACAACAAGGACAAAGGCUGGGUGUGCUGCGAAUUCCAUCCGCAUGAGGGUCCAGGGGUUAAAAUUUGGACUCGGACCUUUGUUCUUCCCGGCAAGACUCCACUGUAGAUCUGCCACACAGAGCAUCAAUAGCCUUCAGGACAGUGCCUCCCACGGAACAGAAAACACUGACAUCUCUUCCUUCAGAGCCCAUAUUUACUGCUUGUCCAUUGACCAGUUGCUCUCCUAGCUGAGAUUCAUUACUAAACAAAGCAGCCCCAAAUCCCUGUCUUCCCACUGCUAAUAUUUUGUUAGGAAGAAUGAAGAAGCGGUGGUGAUGGGGAGAGAUUUGUUAAUGAACACAACAUAUGAUUAAGUUACGUGGAAUUCAGCAUGAGAGAAAUUCUGUUUAUAUUUAACAGAAACUGUUUAAAAAAUAAUAUUUCAAAGGCAUGAUAAAGAAGGGAGAUAAGAGAAAUAUGGCUGAAACUGAAGAUUAAAGCAAUGUAUCCUGAUGAUACCUAUUUAUAUUUGCU
rnacentral:lncRNA from 1 species